rnacentral:tRNA from 1 species
GGGGCUGUGGCUCAGUGGUAGAGCACUCACCUAGCAUGUGUGAGGCACUGGAUUCAAGCCUAAGCACCA